rnacentral:rRNA from 2 species
UAAGUCACGCCACGAAUAGGCUAUCCCAACUAACGGCGGGAAAGACUCCACGGAGGGUGUAAGACCCGUGUGGGCGCGUGUUUAAAGCUGUGCGGGCUCGGCCUCUUUUCCCUGAGAGUCGCGUUGCUUGAGAUUGCAGCGCUAAGCAGGUCGUAAACUCGAUCUAAGGCUAAAUAUCUCCACAGAACCGAUAGCGAACAAGUACCGUGAGGGAAAGUUGAAAAGCACUCUGGAGAGAGAGUCAAAAGACCGUGAAACUGUUCAGAGUAUAAGCCCAUGGCAGCUUGGAAGGCAUAUCGAAAGCGGGGCAUCGGUCUGCCUUCGCGGGGAGCCGGUGUUACCUUGCUUCUGUUGUGGCUCGUCAAGGUAGGGGGGUCAGGUCCACAUCCCGCCAUCGUGUGGGGGGUUCUUGGGUGUGUUGUGGUUUGUCGGUUGGCUUCGGCUUUCAGGCGGGCUCUUCGUGCUCGGUUCCUCUUUAGACACGGACGUUCAGACUCAGAGGCAAGACGCGAUAAACAGCCCACCACGGCUCGUUGUAAGGUCACCCACAGGCUCGACUUUCGAUUGUGAGCCUUGACGCCGAGCAAGCACAAUGCGUGUCGCUGAGGUUCCUAACCAGGCAACAGUGCCAGGAUCGUGGAACGACACGCGCUCAACAGUCAGGCUCGGGCGGAGACAGAGUUCUGGUACGAUCCUAUGCGACGAGCCGGCUUCUGGCCAACAUCCGAUGCUCAGGUCUCCCGCAUGUGCCGCGGGAGAUCGUCUUGACGGUCUGGA